rnacentral:rRNA from 1 species
CCAAGGCGCUUGAGAGAACUCGGGUGAAGGAACUAGGCAAAAUGGUACCGUAACUUCGGGAGAAGGUACGCCCCUGGUAUGUGAAGCGACUUGCUCGUGGAGCAGAAGGGGGUUGCAGUGACCAGAUGGCUGCGACUGUUUAGCAAAAACACAGCACUCUGCUAACACGAAAGUGGACGUAUAGGGUGUGACGCCUGCCCGGUGCCGGAAGGUUAAUUGAUGGGGUUAGCGUAAGCGAAGCUCUUGAUCGAAGCCCCGGUAAACGGCGGCCGUAACGAUAACGGUCCUAAGGUAGCGAAAUUCCUUGUCGGGUAAGUUCCGACCUGCACGAAUGGCGUAACGACUUCCCCGCUGUCUCCAACAUCGACUCAGCGAAAUUGAAUUGCCUGUCAAGAUGCAGGCUUCCCGCGGUUAGACGGAAAGACCCCGUGCACCUUUACUACAGCUUCACACUGGCAUUAGGCCGAACAUGUGCAGGAUAGGUGGUAGGCUUCGAAGCAGGGACGCCAGUUCCUGUGGAGCCUCCCUUGAGAUACCACCCUUGUUCUGCUUGAUGUCUAACCGCGGUCCGUUAUCCGGAUCCGGGACCCUGUGUGGUGGGUAGUUUGACUGGGGCGGUCUCCUCCCAAAUAGUAACGGAGGAGCACGAAGGUUAGCUAAUCACGGUCGGACAUCGUGAGGUUAGUGCAAUGGCAUAAGCUAGCUUAACUGCGAGACAGACACGUCGAGCAGAUACGAAAGUAGGUCAUAGUGAUCCGGUGGUUCUGAAUGGAAGGGCCAUCGCUCAACGGAUAAAAGGUACUCCGGGGAUAACAGGCUGAUACCGCCCAAGAGUUCACAUCGACGGCGGUGUUUGGCACCUCGAUGUCGGCUCAUCACAUCCUGGGGCUGAAGUCGGUCCCAAGGGUAUGGCUGUUCGCCAUUUAAAGUGGUACGCGAGCUGGGUUUAGAACGUCGUGAGACAGUUCGGUCCCUAUCUGGUGUGGGCGUUGGAUGAUUGAUGGGAGCUGCUCCUAGUACGAGAGGACCGGAGUGAACGAACCUCUGGUGUUCGGGUUGUGUCGCCAGACGCAUUGCCCGGUAGCUAUGUUCGGACAGGAUAACCGCUGAAAGCAUCUAAGCGGGAAGCCCCCUUCAAGAUAAGUUUUCCCUGACUCCUUGAGAGUCCUAAAGGGCCGUUAAAGACUAUGACGUUGAUAGGCUGGGUGUGUAAGCGUUGUGAGGCGUUGAGCUAACCAGUACUAAUUGCCCG